AAGUCUGUUGGAAAACAGCAUCAUGGACGGUGACAAUCCGGUUCUUGCCUGGGGUCCCGCGGCGUACGAGCCGUUUCCGACGAGUCGUGUUGCUUGGGAUUGCAGCACUAAGUGGGUGGUAAAUUCCAUCUAAAGCUAAAUAUUGGUGGGAGACCGAUAGCGAACAAGUACCGUGAGGGAAAGGUGAAAAGUACCCCGACGAGGGGAGUGAAACAGUACCUGAAACCGAACGCCUACAAGCAGUCGGAGGCUCCUUGAGAGCUGACGGCGUACCUUUUGUAUAAUGGGUCAGCGAGUUAUUGUCUGUAGCAAGGUUAACCGUCUAGGGGAGCCGUAGGGAAACCGAGUCUUAAUAGGGCGAAUUAGUUGCUGGCAUUAGACCCGAAACCCGGUGAUCUAUCCAUGGCCAGGUUGAAGAUGCCGUAACAGGCAUUGGAGGACCGAACCCACAAAUGUUGAAAAAUUUGGGGAUGAGCUGUGGAUCGGAGUGAAAGGCUAAUCAAACCGGGAGAUAGCUGGUUCUCCUCGAAAUCUAUUUAGGUAGAGCGUCAUGUCUUACCCGCGGGGGUAGAGCACUGUUUGGGCUAGGGGGUCAUCCCGACUUACCAACCCCAUGCAAACUCCGAAUACCGCGGAGUACAAUCAUGGCAGACAGACGGCGGGUGCUAACGUCCGUCGUCAAGAGGGAAACAACCCAGACCGCCAGCUAAGGUCCCAAAUCUACGUUAAGUGGGAAACGAUGUGGGAAGGCUCAGACAGCUAGGAGGUUGGCUUAGAAGCAGCCAUCCUUUAAAGAAAGCGUAACAGCUCACUGGUCUAAAUAAGGGUUCCUGCGGCGAAGAUGUAACGGGGCUAAAGAUAUGCACCGAAGCUUAGGGUUGCAGUUUACUGCAGCGGUAGCGGAGCGUUCCGUAAGUGGCUGAAGCCGAAGGGUAACCGACGGUGGACAUAUCGGAAGUGCGAAUGCUGACAUGAGUAGCGACAAAGAGUGUGAGAAACACUCUCGCCGAAAGCCCAAGGGUUCCUGCGCAAGGCUAAUCCGCGCAGGGUAAGUCGGCCCCUAAGACGAGGGCGAAAGCCGUAGUCGAUGGGAAUCAGGUUAAUAUUCCUGAACCUGGUGGUAGUGACGACCGUGAAGUGUUGUAUCCCCUUACUGGAUUGGGGGUGCUGCUGGAUCGGUCCGGGAAAUAGCUCCACCGUUAAGACCGUACCCCAAACCGACACAGGUGGGCAGGUAGAAGAUACCAAGGCGCUUGAGGGAACUAUGUUGAAGGAACUCGGCAAAAUGCCUCCGUAACUUCGGGAUAAGGAGGACCUCCUUCCGGGCAACCGGUGGGGGGUGGCACAAAAUAGGGGGUAGCGACUGUUUACUAAAAACACAGGGCUCUGCGAAGUCGCAAGACGACGUAUAGGGUCUGACGCCUGCCCGGUGCCUGAAGGUUAAAAGGAGGGGUGAGAGCUCCGAAUUGAAGCCCAGGUAAACGGCGGCCGUAACUAUAACGGUCCUAAGGUAGCGAAAUUCCUUGUCGGGU
rnacentral:rRNA from 1 species